rnacentral:rRNA from 1 species
GACAGAGGGGGCAAGCGUUGCUCGGAAUUACUGGGCGUAAAGGGCGCGUAGGCGGGAUGGCAAGUCGGUCGUGAAAUCCCUCGGCUCAACUGAGGAUCGUCGAUCGAUACUGCCGGUCUUGAGGAUUGCAGAGGAGACUGGAAUUCCCGGUGUAGCGGUGAAAUGUGUAGAGAUCGGGAGGAACACCGGUGGCGAAGGCGGGUCUCUGGGCAAUUCCUGACGCUGAGGCGCGAAAGCGUGGGGAGCAAACAGG